CAAUAGCGUAUAUUAAAGUUGUUGCAGUUAAAAAGCUCGUAGUUGGAUUUCUGGUUGAAGCGACCGGUCGGGCGUUGAUUCGUCUGCACUGGAGUCGGUUUUGGCCAUCCUCUAGGAAAGUGCGUCUGGUAUUAAGUUAUCGGGCGUAUGAUCCUGGUCUUUUACUGUGAAAAAAUUAGAGUGUUUAAAGCAGGCCUUCGCCUUGAAUACAUUAGCAUGGAAUAAUAAGAUAGGACUUUGGUCUAUUUUGUUGGUUUGCAGACCGAAGUAAUGAUUAAUAGGGAUAGUUGGGGGUAUUUAUAUUCCGAUGUCAGAGGUGAAAUUCUUAGAUUUUCGUAAGAUAAACUUAUGCGAAAGCAUUUACCAAGGAUGUUUNCAUUAA
rnacentral:rRNA from 1 species